rnacentral:rRNA from 1 species
AGACCCGAAACCCGGUGAUCUAGCCAUGGGCAGGUUGAAGGUUGGGUAACACUAACUGGAGGACCGAACCGACUAAUGUUGAAAAAUUAGCGGAUGACCUGUGGCUGGGGGUGAAAGGCCAAUCAAACCGGGAGAUAGCUGGUUCUCCCCGAAAGCUAUUUAGGUAGCGCCUCGUGAAUUCAUCUCCGGGGGUAGAGCACUGUUUCGGCUAGGGGGCCAUCCCGGCUUACCAACCCGAUGCAAACUGCGAAUACCGGAGAAUGUUAUCACGGGAGACACACGGCGGGUGCUAACGUCCGUCGUGAAGAGGGAAACAACCCAGACCGCCAGCUAAGGUCCCAAAGUCAUGGUUAAGUGGGAAACGAUGUGGGAAGGCCCAGACAGCCAGGAUGUUGGCUUAGAAGCAGCCAUCAUUUAAAGAAAGCGUAAUAGCUCACUGGUCGAGUCGGCCUGCGCGGAAGAUGUAACGGGGCUAAACCAUGCACCGAAGCUGCGGCAGCGACGCUGAUGCGUUGUUGGGUAGGGGAGCGUUCUGUAAGCCUGCGAAGGUGACCUGUGAGGGUUGCUGGAGGUAUCAGAAGUGCGAAUGCUGACAUAAGUAACGAUAAAGCGGGUGAAAAGCCCGCUCGCCGGAAGACCAAGGGUUCCUGUCCAACGUUAAUCGGGG